rnacentral:tRNA from 3 species
GCCGGAGUGGCGGAAUGGCAGACGCGCUGGACUCAAAAUCCAGUGGCCUUCGGGCCGUGUGGGUUCAACUCCCACCUCCGGCA